rnacentral:rRNA from 1 species
UGGGUAGUCCGUACGAGCGCACCCUAUCCUUAGUUGCCAGCGAGUAUGUCGGGAACUCUAGGGAGACUGCCGGUGACAAACCGGAGGAAGGUGGGGACGACGUCAAGUCAUCAUGGCCCUUAUGGCCAGGGUCUACACACGUGCUACAAUGGCCGGCACAGAGGGCUGCGAAGUCGCAAGGCGGAGCGAAUCUCAAAAAACCGGUCGUACUCCGGAUUGCAGUCUGCAACUCGACUGCAUGAAGUUGGAAUCGCUAGUAAUCGCGGAUCAGAAUGCCGCGGUGAAUACGUNCCCGGGCCUUGUACACACCGCCCGUCACACCAUGGGAGUGGGCUGUACCAGAAGUAGGUAGUCUAACCUUCGGGGGGACGCUUACCACGGUGUGGUUCAUGACUGGGGUGAAGUCGUAACAAGGUACCCCUAGGGGAACCUGGGGCUGGAUCACCUCCUU